rnacentral:lncRNA from 1 species
UGUCACUCCUUACAAUGGCUUCUGUUUUUUUAUUGUGAGCCCUGCCAGCCUUGUGGUCUUGGCAGGUAUUCCUCCCUCCCUCCCUGUCUCCAUAGACAAUAUCAGAGGUAACCAACAACAACAGAAUUUGUAACUCCUCUCUCUUAUAUAGUUCUGUGGCAGCAUUUUGUCAGAUUGGUUGCUUCCUCUGCUUCUUCUCAGGAAAAUUCUGUUUGAAAGUUGCUCAGUUAUCAGCCUGCAGAGUCCAUGGAGCAAGCAACCAUGCUUUUGAGCAGAGCACAGCAGUGGCAUGCCAGGGAGCAUCAAAGGCAACAGUCUUAAAAGCACACCAUCUCCAGAUUCAUGAAGUCUUCACACAAUACUGCCUCUGUGUGGCUUCCUCUUGCCUAAGGAAUCCUCAGCAGUUUCUUCACUAUGCUUAUGCUACAGCUUUUUCUUCAGCCUUUUUAUCUGAAAUGAUUCUGCUUUUAAAAAUGGAAGAAGAGAAAAAUAAAUAAAUAAUAGAAGAACCUCUCUUUUGUAGUCAUAAGGAUGUUCAGCGUCUUCCGGGAAAUGUCUUUGCUUUAUUUUAUUGUUUGGAAUUAGUUAUUGAUUACUUUUUAAAGAAAAGAAUAUUAUUACUAGUCAAAAUAAUCUCAACAUCAAUAAUAGAUCAGAACAUGAGUAGAUGUAUGCUGUCUGGAAGCUCUUUUUACUGCUUAAGGAAUAUUGGUUGGUUUUAAUAACAUAGUGCUUUGCUGCUAUCAAUAAUAAGCAUCUUAAUGACCCUUUUAGAAUUCUGCAGGCACAACCAGGAUGGGUUUCUAAAAACAGCUGGUUAAUUGCAGUUGUGCGGUUUCCACAUUCACAAUUGCUUUUGCUUGAACUCAUACACUGGGACGCUUGAAAUCCAUGCCUGCAGUCAUAUUGCUGUACUAUUCACAGUCUAGAGGAAAGAAAAAUGAAAGGAUGAAUGCAAACUAUUUCACAUUUAUUUAAUUCAACUUUUAUAAUCCCAAGGAGGCUGCAGCUCCUUUCCUUGUAAAAGGAAAGGAUCCAUUUGAAAAAGGAUCGGCGCGUUACAGAAAUCCAUGUAAACAAGAAAGAGGCACUCAAAAACGUAUUGGGUCAAAUGUUAUUAUUGUUUACCUUUUACGUAAUUAGUUACUUUGGCAACUGAGUUAAAACAGGAAAAUAAAAGAGCACUCUGCCUGCA